CGUAAACAAAGGGAAGCGAAGUGGUGACGCGGAGCGAACCCCAAAAAUAACGUCCCAGUUCGGAUUGCAGUCUGCAACUCGACUGCAUGAAGCUGGAAUCGCUAGUAAUCGCGGAUCAGAAUGCCGCGGUGAAUACGUUCCCGGGUCUUGUACACACCGCCCGUCACACCAUGGGAGCCGGAAAUGCCCGAAGCCAGUGACCCAACCUUAGGGAGGGAGCUGUCGAAGGUGGAGCCGGUAACUGGGGUGAAGUCGUAACAAGGUACC
rnacentral:rRNA from 1 species